AUGGGGGACCCUGAUGCCGCCACCCCCGUGANCGAAGAAGUAUUNCUUGUAUGUAAACCNCUAUCACCAGGGAAGAUAAUGNCGGUCCCUGNCUAAGAACCCCCGGCUAACUNCGUGCCACCACCCNCGGUAAUNCGUAGGGGGCAAGCGUUAUCCGGAUUUNCUGGGUGUAAAGGGAGCGUAGACGGCAAGGCCAAGUCUGAUGUGAAANCCCAGGGCCUUACCCCUGGGACCUGCCAUUGGAAACUGUCCUGGCCUCGAGUGCCAGGAGAGGAAAGCCGGAAUUCCCUAGUGUAGCCGGUGAAAUGCGUAGAUAUUAGGAGGANCNCCAGUGGCCGAAGGCGGCCUUACUGGACGGUANCUGACCGUUGAGGCUCGAAAGCCGUGGGGAGCCAAACAGGAUUAGAUACCCUGGUAGNCCAAGGGCCGAAUUC
rnacentral:rRNA from 1 species